ACCAUGCUGACCCAUCUCCUCAAAACACGAAACUGCCAUAAACUACCCACCGUCGCCGCCACUGCCCCCAUCCUCCUCUACCAGAAAAUCACCUCAGUUGAAUACAUAUUCUCAAGAAAUCGAGACCCACUUCGAAAAACUCAUGGACAAGUACAAAAACCUCUUCAAAGUCAUCGCUAUUCAAGACCUCAUCCUCGGUACAACCACCAACGUCGCCGUACCCGCCAGCAUCUCCGUCGACUUCCUUAACCGCCUAUCUCAACGCCUCCAUCUCAACCGCGGCUCCACCCAUUGCCUCCGACAUGCUUCCGUGGCUACACAAACAACUGCUUGCACCUUUUAUCUUUGAAGUAGUUAUGGCUUACCUUCACAAUUAAGGGUGGAGCUCCUGCUGAUUACCAUCCUGCUUUCAACGCCUAAACCCGGAGUAUGCUCGCCUAGAUUGGAUGAUUAUUCAAGAGCUUCCUAUAAAGACCACCACCAGUUCGGCCUUCUGUGAUGAUGGAUACUUCAUCAAGGAGUGAGGUAUUCAUUUUCCUGUUGAGGUUGAGAGCUUAGUGUACUGUUGCUAAAAGUGUUGCUUUAUCUCUACUUUCUUCUAUUCCUUCCAGAAAUUUCUAGAAAAUUAUGCCAAUUGAUGAAUUACCUUUUCUGUUAAAUUUAAUUUAGGAUGAUUUAACACAUCAACUCACCAUAAUUAUUUGUCACAACGAGAAUUUGAUGAGGCAGGAAAGGAAUGGGGCACCGACACACAUCACCUCGGAGUUUUCACAGCUAUUGCAAUUUUAUAUAACUACAUUUUUUAUAAUGAUCUG